UACAGAGGGGGCGAGCGUUGUUCGGAAUUACUGGGCGUAAAGGGCGCGUAGGCGGCCCGCUAAGUCGAACGUGAAAUCCCCAGGCUCAACCUGGGAACUGCGUCCGAUACUGGCAGGCUUGAAUCCGGGAGAGGGAUGUGGAAUUCCAGGUGUAGCGGUGAAAUGCGUAGAUAUCAGGAGGAACACCGGUGGCGAAGGCGGCAUCCUGGACCGGUAUUGACGCUGAGGCGCGAAAGCGUGGGGAGCGAACAGG
rnacentral:rRNA from 1 species